UAUGCUUUGUUGUGGAUCUUCUAUGGAAUGUUGUUGCUAGUAACCAAGCAUGCUUUCUCUUUAGUUCCUCUAUGAAAGUAGCAUCAAAUUGGGAUUUUGUUGAUGAUUUGCAAAGCUUAAUUGAGACAUAAUUCUCUCAGUUCCCACUUUUGCAAAUGUGUUCCUCAGUGCGUUUUUAGAGUAUCUUUAAUGACGCUGCAAGUGUUCUAAACUAACCAAUAUGGUUUCUUAAAAGAAGUCUCCAGCUAAAUAUAUAUGCCUAAAUCAUCCCUUUGUUUGUGAGCACUUUAAUAGUUUGACACUUUCUAUAGGUGGAUAUUUUAGCAGUUCAGCUGUCCAAAAGAGAAAAUGAGUUGCUUCAGCAGAAAACCGAGGUCACGAGAAUAGCGACUUCACUGAAACUGGCUUCUGAAGAUGCUAGGAGAAUUGUUGACGAAGAACGAACUAAUGCACGCAUGGAGAUUGAAAAUGCUAGAGCUGUUGUACAAAGAGUUCAAAAAGUACUUCAAGAGAAAGAGAACAGUUCACAAAGAAUUGGAAAGCAGAAGAGGAAGAUCUAGAAAUUUGCAUACCUAGAGGAACUCGCCUUCUUGAUGCCCCUUGCUUACAGAAGGUCGACAUCGACUGAGUACGAGCGGCCGUAGGUCACAAGGGGGCGUGGAACUGCUGCAGCCCAUCU